GGGGUUAUGGUGUAGCUUGGCUAUCAUCCGUCGCUUGGGACGACGAGACCCAGGUUCAAAUCCUGGUAACCCCA
rnacentral:tRNA from 2 species